rnacentral:tRNA from 1 species
GGAUGUAGCUCAGUUGGUAGAGUGUUUGCCUUGCAUGUGCAGGGCCCUAGGUUUAAUCCCCAGCACCA